CCAGUCGUCUCUUUCAGAGACUUAUCAAAUGACCCAAAAAAUCCUAGCCGCCAUUGUUACCUUCGCCUGAAAACCCAGCGGCGACACCUCCAACCUCGAUUAAAACAGCAUCCCUGAACCACAUCGAUUCCCCCUCUCCAAAUCCACACUUAUCUUGCCUCGAAUCUUCCCAGGCCGUCUCGAAUCUUCAAUCGAAGAAUUGAGAAAAACCCUAGCCGCCUUUGAUUAACCCCAAACUUACACUAGUUAUCCACCAGGCCACCCUUGUCCCAAAACCCAUGGUAGUUUCAUUCGAAUCUAGCCAGAGUUAGUCGAAUCUUAAAUCGACUGAAGAGCCCUAGAAGCACCAAAACUGAACUUGUACGAGAUUAGGAAAAAUUGGGGUUUUAAUCGACUUUAGUUGAGUGUUCUCAGUCGAGAACACUCGACGAAAAUCCGUUUUGACCUCAAUAGUUCAAGUCGAAGUUCAAACUAACUGAGAGCUAUGUCUAAUUCCGAGGUAUUUUCGCUUCUUUGCUUUUAUUUUUUGUUUGUUUGUUUUUGUUGUUAUUAUUUAUCGGAUUAAGUUUCGGAUAAUUCAUCUUUUGUCAAUUAGUUCUUCUUCCUCUUGGGGACCUUUUACUUGGUCCAGUUUUCUUUUGUCAAUUAAUAACAUAUGUUAUAAAUAGUUUCGUCGAUUACUUCAUUCUUGUUUGUAGUCCAGUAGUUCUCGUCAAAUGGCUAUGUGCUGAUCCUUAGCCACUUAGCUUCAGGGCUCACUGUCUAGAUACUGUCAGUGAUACUACAUUUUGUAUAGGUUUAAUUCCCUACUCGUUCAUUUGUGUUUGAGCAAAUUACGAUUGGCUCCCCAAUAUGGUUAGUUUAUUCCCUAUAUCUAUGGGACCAAUCUAACUUUACUAGUCCAAUGCAUGUUAUUUUGAAUCAUUGGAUCUUAUUUGGAUACUAUUUGGUCCAAUCUGAAUAUAAGCCUGAAUUGAUGUUGAUGAAUUGGACCUUGAUGUGGUUCUGUAAUGAAUUUAGUUUUGAUAUGCUUGUUAGGAGUCAGUUCAUAUGGCUAAGUAAUCGAUUAAUAAGUUGAAUUUAUUAUAGCUGAUAGGUUGUGUACAUAUUGAGGGGAUGGGGUUAGGAUAGGAAUUCUAGGCAACUCAGUGGGUAAUUUGGGAAUUGAAAACUUGAAGAAUUGUUUAAUUUGAGUGUUAUGUUCACUAGGUACUACUGUACCAUUAAAAUAUGGUAUUUGUUUAACAAUUAGUGGGGAACAAAACAUAAUGGUAUGGGGGAUAAGUGAUGAAAAGAUAAAAGAUACACAUAAUAGAGGAAUAUUACAAGCUGGAAAGUGAAGAAAUAUGGGGAUAAUAAUAAGAGAUCUCUUUUACAACUACAAAGAGAAAAAGGGGGCUGGAAAGGGGUUUAAGGGUUUUGGGUAUAAAUAAGGAACAUUUAGGACAGAGUUAGGGGAACCUGGGAGAAUCAGUCUUGUCAGUUUUUUACUCAAUGAAGAGGAAUUUUUGAGGAAAAAAAAGAGUUCAAAGUUUGAAUACAAAAACAGAGUGUUGAGAGUUCGAGGAUCAGUUUUCUUGAAAGCUUUUAAAGCUGAACUCUUCCACACUUUGAAACUUUAAUAGUUUGAAAGAGUGCUCUAGACAAUCAGCUCACACUGUUAUAUUGAUUUUAAGAGCAGAAAUUGUUAAAAUCUCUUUGUUUCUGUUCUGUACUUGGGUGUUCAGGACACUUGAGGUAUUUGGUGAUUUAUUUGAGGGUUGCUGGGUAUUAUCUGAUUGCUGAAAGGUGUUCCAUGACGGUCUAGACUAAUUUCUUGUAGAUUCAAUAUUUUGGUUAAGCUUCUCUCUUCCUGGGCAUUUUGACUGUGGUUUGGUCUUGAACUUGGCUCUAUUUGUUGUUGUUGAUUGUCAACCUGUUGGUGUUACUGUUAUCUGCUAUAGCUGACCUCCUUUCUUUCUUACUCGUAUUUCAACUUCCAAGUACACAGCUGUAACUUUGGCAUUUGUAAGCUGAAAAAUAUGAAAUUUGAAUAUACGUGAAGAGUUAAAAUUCUGAUUUGAUUUCUAUAUGACUUGUGUAUUUAAAUUCUUCAGUCACUGAAGAUAGGUAGAUCUCUGCUAGUUUGUAGUAAGUGGACUGAAAUGGAGUUGUAUGAGAUAUUUUUUUAAUAGUUCACAUUGAAACAUGUUAGCAUCUGGUAACUGAUUCAUGUAGUUAAACAUGAGCUUGUGGGACUGUUGAAUUAAUCUGGACUGUGACUGUUAGAUUACUGGAUCUUUGGAUUAUGUUCGACUAGUUCUGAAUAUCAGUUUUUAUGCCAAUUGCUAAUUCAGGAAAGUACUACAUCAAUUGAAAGGAAUAGGAAAGUGUAAAAUGUAAAUAGUAUUGGAAUUUGGUUAAAGCAUUGACUGU
rnacentral:lncRNA from 1 species